rfam:Picea glauca, whole genome shotgun sequence.
GUCGUUGUAGUAUAGUGGUGAGUAUUCUCGCCUGUCACGCGGGUGACCCCAGUUCGAUCCCCGGCAAUGGCG